GAUGAACGCUGGCGGCGUGCUUAACACAUGCAAGUCGAACGAAGAUGCCGGAGUGCUUGCACUUUGGCAGACUGAGUGGCGGACGGGUGAGUAACGCGUGGGUAACCUGCCUUAUACAGGGGGGAUAACAGUUGGAAACGACUGCUAAUACCGCAUAAGCGCACGGUAUCGCAUGAUACAGUGUGAAAAAACUCCGGUGGUAUAAGAUGGACCCGCGUCUGAUUAGCUAGUUGGUGAGGUAACGGCCCACCAAGGCGACGAUCAGUAGCCGGCCUGAGAGGGUGAACGGCCACAUUGGGACUGAGACACGGCCCAAACUCCUACGGGAGGCAGCAGUGGGGAAUAUUGCACAAUGGGGGAAACCCUGAUGCAGCGACGCCGCGUGAGUGAUGAAGUAUUUCGGUACUGUAAAACUCUACUCAGCAGGGAAGAUAAUGACGGUACCUGACUAAGAAGCACCGGCUAAAUACGUG
rnacentral:rRNA from 1 species